rnacentral:misc_RNA from 1 species
UUACAAGCUGCGGAUACUGUCUUGAAGGAAGUAAUAUUCCUGGAUGCUGCUAAAAGGCUGAAGGGAGGUACUGUUGAUCUGUUUGUUGUGAACUCUUUUGGAUCCGCUUACCAGGCAGUUUUUAUAUGCCUUCUUCUCCCAUUUUUGUCGAAGUUAUGGGGUGUUCCAUUUACUCAACUGCCAAAUUAUCUUAGAGAUGGUGCUGCAUGCUUUUUGAACAUUGGCACAUUAUCCGGUGG